UGGCAUCUAUGAUUUGCUCGCAGAUUGAGACGUUUUUUCAAGUUCGGUGGUACCAUUAGCCUCUGGUUCAGCGUCCGAUUAGGUUUCUGCUGCAGAUUCAGUGGUACCAUUAGCCUCUGGUUCAGCAUCCGGUUUGGUUUCUGCUGCAGGUUCAGUGGUACCAUUAGUCUCCGGUUUAGCAUCCGGUUUGGUUUCUGCUGCAGGUUCAGUGGUACCAUUAGUCUCCGGUUUAGCAUCCGGUUUGGUUUCUGCUGCAGGUUCAGUGGUACCAUUAGUCUCCGGUUUAGCAUCCGGUUUGGUUUCUGCUGCAGGUUCAGUGGUACCAUAGGUCUCCGGUUCAGCAUCCGGUUUGGUUUCUGCUGCAGGUUUGGUGGUACUAUUGGUCUCCGGUUCAGCAACCGAUUUGGCUUCGGUUGCAGGUUCAGUCUCCGCUUCUGGCGCAGGUUCAGACGUUUUUGCAGGUCCUGCUGUGCCGCUAGCCUCCGGUUGGACAUCCAGUUUCGUUUCUGGUGCAG
rnacentral:lncRNA from 1 species